rnacentral:rRNA from 1 species
UGGGGAAUUUUGGACAAUGGGCGCAAGCCUGAUCCAGCCAUGCCGCGUGCGGGAAGAAGGCCUUCGGGUUGUAAACCGCUUUUGUCAGGGAAGAAACGGUCUGGGUUAAUACCUCGGACUAAUGACGGUACCUGAAGAAUAAGCACCGGCUAACUACGUGCCAGCAGCCGCGGUAAUACGUAGGGUGUAAGCGUUAAUCGGAAUUACUGGGCGUAAAGCGUGCGCAGGCGGCUUUGCAAGACAGAUGUGAAAUCCCCGGGCUCAACCUGGGAACUGCAUUUGUGACUGCAUCGCUAGAGUGCGGCAGAGGGGGAUGGAAUUCCGCGUGUAGCAGUGAAAUGCGUAGAUAUGCGGAGGAACACCGAUGGCGAAGGCAAUCCCCUGGGCCUGCACUGACGCUCAGGCACGAAAGCGUGGGGAGCAA